GCCGCCGGCUCUCUACGACAUCUACCAAGACAGAAGUGGCUCUGUUCCUCCCAGAGGAAUAAACGUCCUCCUCUAGCUGUGCCGAUGCUCUCCUGAUUUCUGCACUUCAUCGACGUCAAGGAAAGUGGAGGAAUUCUAAAAAUAGCGGCAGUGCACAAAGUGGCACCCACUCGUCAAGAAGAUCAGCAAAUCGGAAUAGCGACAAGCAAAUUGCCAAAAUGGUAUUACUCAUUGCUGUGGUGUUCAUAAUUUGCUAUUCUCUCAAAAGCGCUUUUAGUCUGCUUAGCGUGUUCCUAGGUGAACUAAAAA